rnacentral:rRNA from 1 species
UGCAUGGCUGUCGUCAGCUCGUGUCGUGAGAUGUUCGGUUAAGUCCGCUAACGAGCGCAACCCUCGCUGUGUGUUACAAGUGUCACACGGAACUGCCGGUCAUAAACCGGAGGAAGGUGGGGAUGACGUCAAGUCAGCAUGGCCUUUAUAUCCUGGGCUACACACACGCUACAAUGGGAAGGGACAAUAGGUUGCGAAGCCGCGAGGCGGAGCCAAUCCAGCAAAACUUCCCUCAGUUCAGAUUGCAGGCUGCAACUCGCCUGCAUGAAGUUGGAGUUGCUAGUAAACGCAGGUCAGCCAUACUGCGUUGAAUACGUUCCCGGGGCUU